rnacentral:lncRNA from 1 species
CUUUGCGCGAGUAACUUCUGCUUUCUCCUACCGAUCCUCCACCGAAGAUUAAGUUAAUUACCCUUCUUUUGUGGUCAGUGUCUGAAUCUGGACUCCUUGAGCGUUGGCGCUUACCCUUGUUCUUUGGGUCCUUGCAGCCUUGUCGCCCCCUUUCUACUUUAUUUAUAUAUUGCCUUAGCUUUCCUUCCUUUACUUGUGUAUCUAGGA